UACGGAGGGAGCUAGCGUUGUUCGGAAUUACUGGGCGUAAAGCGCACGUAGGCGGCUAUUCAAGUCAGAGGUGAAAGCCCGGGGCUCAACCCCGGAACUGCCUUUGAAACUAGGUAGCUAGAAUCUUGGAGAGGUCAGUGGAAUUCCGAGUGUAAAGGUGAAAUUCGUAGAUAUUCGGAAGAACACCAGUGGCGAAGGCGACUGACUGGACAAGUAUUGACGCUGAGGUGCGAAAGCGUGGGGAGCAAACAGG
rnacentral:rRNA from 1 species